UUUUUUUUUAUGAAUGGUUUACAUUAGGUCCUCGACAUUGUUCAUCCUAUAACUGAAAGUCUGCGCCCUUCUACCAACCUCUCGCUACUUCCCCACCCAUCCUAUGUCCCAGCAACUACUUUUCUACUCUGUUUCUAUGAGUUCAACUUUUUCUUUUUAUUUUUUUAGAUUCCACACAUAAGUGAUAGCACACAGUAUUUGUCCUCUCUGUCCACCUUCUAUCACUUAGCACAGCACCCUAAUACCCUCCAGUGAAAACAUUUUUUUUAGGGCCACACCCAUGGCAUAUGGAGGUUCCUAGGCUAGGGGUCGAAUCCGAGCUGUAGCCACCGGCCUAUACCACAGUCACAGCAAUGCGGGAUUCGAGCUGUACCUGCAACCUACACCACAGCUCGCUGUAAUGCCGGAUCCUUAACCCACUGAGUGAGACCAGGGAUCAAACCCACGUCCUCAUGGAUACCAGUCUGGUUCGUUAACUGCUGAGCCAUAACGGGAACUCUGAAAACAUUAUUUUUAUUAUUUAUAGUUAGGGAGUGAUUUUCUACAUGUCAUGUUUACUUUAACAUGACAUGUGCUUGGCUUCCUUUGCAGCCAUAAAUGUGCUCUGUUGUUCUUUCUAUAACCACAGGGUUUGGGAGGAGAGGCGGGGAGAGAAGGCAACGCCUUCAAGAUUCUGUAAAAUGUCCUGGUUCAUUGCCUUUAAUUUAAAAUGCUCUAUUAAAUGCCCAAAUCUAGCGGAGAGCCCUAAACAAUGGCAAUUCCUGGAUUUUGUUCUGUGCGUCAUAUGACAUCCUAGGACGCUGUAAAGACUGGGAAAUGAGGUUCAUUCCUUUGAAGAUUUUCCUUCAUGUUUCCUCCACGUAUCUCACUCACCUCCUCAUGUCUGAGAUCUGAGAAAAAAUUCUCAAGAUUUUUUAACAAGUUGAUCUUCUUUCCCUAGGACACUUUUGAGGAAAGGUAGAGGUGGUAUGAAGACCCACAUGGAGUCUUGCCAAUAACUCUGAAUUCUUUCUGAGGAACAUUUCUUUAAAAAAAGUUGGGACAUGAAAUAGUACUACUUUACAUGGUACCACUUCCUGCUUUCCUUUUUGGUGGUUUUGCUAUUUUUUACUAACAUGGUCAGAUAUUAGGAAGGGGGACAUUUCUACGGCUGACUUCAUUCCACCAUCUUUACCUAAAACAUGGCUGCUAUUUUAUGACUUCCUUAAAUAACUAUAUCUUGCAAUCAGUGUUUGUUUUUCCCCAGGAUAGAAAUUUCCAUUUUAUCAUAGAAACCAUGCAAAAUAUGGUAUCAAAAUACUGAGAUUCAAUUAGAAGGGAAGUUUCAUUUUUGCUGUUUUGAAUACAUGUAUUCCAUGGACUAAGCAUAACCUGAAAAAACAGAAGCUCCUAGUGGUUCUUUGGACCAGCCAACCUCUACACUCCCCUUUCCUCCCAGGUAGCCUCUCUGUGUGGUUAUUUUUGGUCAAGAUCUUUUUCUGGGCGUAGUCUCCCUGCCACCUGAGAAGAUGAUCUUUCAAAAUCAGACCUUAGAAACUUUAACUGUGUCAGGAGUAAAAUGAAUAAACAAAACAACUCAAAAGGAAAUGCUUCUAUUAUUUGUUUGAAAUGAGUUUCUCCUCCCUCUGGAAGCCAUUUCAGAGGAGAUAUUUUUAAAUGGUUUUUAAAAAUAACUUUUAUAGGAGUUCCCGUGGUGGUACAGUGGAAAAGAAUCCGACUAGGAACCAUGAGAUUGCGGGUUCGAUCCCUGGCCUCACUCAGUGGGUUAAGGAUUCGGUGUUGCUGUGAGCUGUGGUGUAGAUUGCAGAUGAGGCUCAGAUAUGGCAUUGCUGUGGCUGUGGUGUAGGCUGGCAGCUGUAGCUCCGAUUGGACCCCUAGUCUGCGAACUUCCAUAGGCCUCGGGUGCAGCCCUAAAAAACAAAACAAAACAAAAACAACAAAAAGAGAACAAAAACUUUUACAGUGUUUUUCCCAAUCACUAAGUUGAGACCUGAUUCAUGCUUCUGAUUUUACACGUUGCGAUGCCAGAUGGGGGAAUAGAAAAGAUAGCUAAUUGCAGAAGAGCUGCUUCCUUGAAGCCAAAGGCAUGGCUGGGGGAGCAGAGGAAGCAGAAGCUUCGGAUCCACUGUGAAGGGAAGACCUCCCCCUCCUCUGGCUUGUGCUUUUGGCUUGUGUCAUUUUGCCCCCGACCGGGAUGCAAAAUGUAGAAAAAGGCAUAACUGACCAAAAAGAAGAAUCUGCCCUUGACAUUAAUAAAGCUGAUGAAAAUUUGAAAAAGGAAAAUGUAGGUACGUCAGAUUUAUCCCUACCUAAGGUUUCAACUCCAGUGACUGCUCACAUCUUUAAGCUACAUCUCUCUCCUGAGCUCCAAAUGCCUAUGCGAGCAUGUCACAGGCCAGCCUCAGCUUGUGCCAGACUCGCAUGCCUACGGAUCUCGCCUUUUCUCAUGGAUGGAGCUGCUCAUGUCGACCAGGAACUCAAGAAUCAUUCAUUCUUCAUUCAGUCCACUCAGGAAAGAGGUCAUAUCAAUCCAACCUCUGAAAUCUCUCUCAGAGGCAUCCUUUUCCAUCCCUAUUGCUCCUGCCAUGCUUCAGGCUUCCUUAUCUCUUGUCUGAAAGAUGACUAGUCCCUAUGACAGAUGGGGUUCACCAAGGCAGCUGCACCAAUCUCUCCCAUCCCUUAUGCUUAUAUGCAAUAUGACCUUGACUCUCCUGCACGGCAGGUGCAGGUAGAGUCUAUUAUGCCCUUGAUUCUCCUGCAUGAUGGGUACAAGUAGAGUCUAUUAUGACUUUGACUAUCCUGCAUGGUGGGUGCAGGUAGAGUCUAUUUUCCUCCCCUUGAAUCUGAGCUGGCCCUGGGACUUGUUUCAGUUGAUGAAUGUAGCAAAAGUAACUCUCCAGGCUGGGCCUUAAGAGAGCUAUGAUUUUCACCUUUGCCACUUGGAAUCCUCCCUCCAGGGGCCAGUUUCCAUGUAAGAAAUCUGACUACCCUGAAACCACUAUCCUGUGAAGAAUUCCAAGCAACCCCCUUCCCUCUGGAGAGGCUUCAUGAAGGAGCACUGAAGGGCCAGACAGCAGAACGAGACCUUCCAGCCAAGUUCAACCAUCAGCUAAAGUGUAGCCAAUGCCAGUGAACAGAACUAUCCAGCCCAACCCUGCCUGGAUGCCUGACCCACAGCAACAGGAGGAAAUGAAUUGGCUUUUGUGUUAAGCCAAUAGGCUUGGGGUAUUUGUUAGACAGAAACAGAUAUUAAAGACAGUCCUUGUACCUCUAGUCCCACUCUUCUAGGUCCUUUGCCAUACUGCCAGCAGCGCUGUGUUUCCAAACUCAGAAUGAUCACAUCACUGCCUUUCCCAUAGUAUCAAAGCCAAACCGUAUUGAGCCCUUGGAUGAAGAAGCUUCUCAGUCCAUCCAUCUCCCUUGCCCAAGUCCAGCUUUUAUCACUCCUUUCUUCACUCUUGCCACUCCCAGUUUCCUCAACACCCUGGACAUCAUCUUCCCAUGCACGGUACCAUGUGGUCCUAUAGCUCUGCUGCUCUUCCUUCAUCAGAACCAUAACUGGGAAAAGUUCAAUCCCUCUGUGAGCCCUCGGAGGGCCGACGGCUCUCCCCUAUCCAGCCCCUCUAUUAGAUCUGUGUGUCCAGGGCCUCCUCCCAGACCUGACUGCCCAUUGGAGUCACGAAAGCAGACUAAAAAAAAAUUCCUCAACUUCUGCACAAGCUAUGGAAUCAAGGACUAGGGCUGAGGGCUAAUCAUCUAGAUUUUUGAAGCACCCCAGGAGUCACAGACACACUCAGCAGAGACUGGUAUUAAGGACGGAUUUCGUAUCGAAUCAUUUGCCACAUGGCCUGCUUUCACCAGCCACUAGAGUUUGCAGACGACAGGACCUGCUUACUCAUCUCUGUGUCUCUGGGUCUAGCCUCCCUCUAGAUUGAACACAGGAAGAAAGGAGUGGUGUUGGGAGGUGUGUCAUGCAGAGUCAAAAAGGGUAGGGAACCAAGGUCCUCCUCAAAGGAAGAAGGAAGCCAAAGAGGCCAGAGACAGUCGACUUCAGUCUGUCACCAGUUGCUCGACAUGGUACUUCCCAUGCUUCAGAUCAUCAUCUGCCUCUAGACUUGCCCCACCAGGAGCCCUCGGGGAGCAGGGACUGAUCCUUCUCCCGAUCCCAGAGCCUCUUCUUGUGUCAGCAAUAUAAUAGCCAUAUAAAGAAAUAAUAAUAGAAUGAAUGAAUGAAGCCUAGAAACCAAGAAGAAGCUGACUGGUUCCAACUAAGUCCUCUCUUCGGUUGAUUUCUCAGCUGUGUCUCUCAGGCAUGGUCUUGGUAAUUCCGACUUACUGUCCACAGGGAAUUAUCUUCUCUACCUUACCCAGUUCUGAUCUGAGGCCAACCUGCAUGAAAGGAUCUGCCUAAACCUACCUAUGAGUCUUUAUGCAAUUUCCGCUUACAUACACCUGUUGCCAUCCCUGCAUCUGAAGGAGACGUAUCAUUAUAUCAAACCCAUAGGUUGAUGCCUAUUUCCGCUGCUGGGUUCCUUGCUGGUAGGCAACUUUUAGCUAGGUGCCCAAGAGAAUGAGAUGAAACAGAAACAGCCAUGACAAAAAUGAGCUGAAAGAACGUCAAGCAAUGGUGGGUUUUCCCAGUUAAGACCCCGUUAUGGCUCAGUGGUUAACGAAUCCGACUAGGAACCAUGAGGUUUCUGGUUCGAUCCCUGGCCUUGCUCAGUGGGUUAAGGAUCCCUGCGUUGCCAUGAGGUGUGGUGUAGUUUGCAGAUGUGGGUCGGAUCCCACAUUGCUGUGGCUCUGGUGUAGGCUGGCAGCUACAGCUCCGAUAAGACCCCUAACCUGGGAACCUCCGUAUGCCAUGGGAGUGGCCCUAGAAAAGGCAAAAAGACAAAAAAAAAAAAAAAAAAAA
rnacentral:lncRNA from 1 species